GAGAUGACUCUCGGCAACGGAUAUCUAGGCUCUUGCCACGAUGAAGAACGUAGCGAAAUGCGAUACUUGGUGUGAAUUGCAGAUCCCGUGAACCAUCAAGUUUUUGAACGCAAGUUGCGCCCGAGGCCACCAGGCCAAGGGCACGCCUGCCUGGGCGUCACGC
rnacentral:rRNA from 1 species